rnacentral:tRNA from 1 species
GCCCAGGUAGCUCAGUUGGUAGAGCACAUGACUGAAAAUCAUGGUGUCGGUAGUUCGAUUCUACCCUUGGGCACCA